rnacentral:rRNA from 1 species
GACGAACGCUGGCGGCGUGCUUAACACAUGCAAGUCGAACGGGCUCUGUCUGGCUGUGUGCUGGGUGGGGUUAGUGGCGAACGGGUGAGUAAUACGUGAGUAACCUGCCCUCUUCUUUGGGUAAGGCUUUGGAAACGGGUCUAAUACCGGAUAUUCCUGGCUGGGUGGAUGGGCUGGGGGGGGAAGGUUUUUUUGGGGGGGGAUGGGCUGGGGGCCUUUUAGGUUGGUGGGUGGGUGAUGGGCCUCCAAGGCGUCGACGGGGAGCCGGGCUGGGAGGGUGGCCGGCGACACUGGGACUGGGAUACGGCCCAGACUCCUACGGGAGGCAGGAGUGGGGGAUAUGGGACAAUGGGCGCAAGCCUGAUGCAGCGACGCCGCGUGGGGGAUGACGGCUUUCGGGUUGUAAACCUCUUUCGUCGGGGGACAAGGCUCUGCUUGGUGGUGGGGUUGAGGGUACCCGGUGAAGAAGCGCCGGCUAACUACGUG